UACGUAGGGGGGCAAGCGUUGUCCGGAUUUAUUGGGCGUAAAGAGCGUGUAGGCGGCCAGACAGGUCUGCUGUGAAAACUCGAGGCUCAACCUCGAGACGCCGGUGGAAACCGUCUGGCUAGAGUCCGGAAGAGGAGAGUGGAAUUCCUGGUGUAGCGGUGAAAUGCGCAGAUAUCAGGAAGAACACCAGUGGCGAAGGCGGGUCUCUGGGCCGAUACUGACGCUGAGGAGCGAAAGCGUGGGGAGCGAACAGG
rnacentral:rRNA from 1 species